GCCCUGUGCAUGGCUCAGUAAGUAGAGCAGGAGACUCUUAACCUCAAGGUUGUGGGUUUGAGCCCCAGGUUGGGCA